rnacentral:tRNA from 1 species
GCACCGCUAGCUCAACUGGCUAGAGCACUUGACUCUUAAUCAAGGGGUUCUGGGUUCGAGUCCCAGGCGGUGUA